CUAGAACUACCCGGUGCGAAAGCCCCUAAUGUUUGUAUUGAUAGUUUUUGCUCGAAAUGCCCAUGUAAGUGAAGAUAUGUAAAAUAUUUAUUUCUUGUUAAUAGAUUUGGGCAAAAAUUAACACAUAUAAAGUCGCUGGUCUCUCAUUUGUUUGUUUUUAUGAACGUAUGUGUAUGUCUUUCUCAUACCCUUUUCAAG